UACGUAGGGAGCAAGCGUUGUCCGGAAUCAUUGGGCGUAGAGCGCGCGUAGGCGGCCCCGUAAGUCCGCUGUGAAAGUCGAAGGCUCAACCUUCGAAAGCCGGUGGAUACUGUGGGGCUAGAGUACGGAAGAGGCGAGUGGAAUUCCUGGUGUAGCGGUGGAAUGCGCAGAUAUCAGGAGGAACACCAAUAGCGAAGGCAGCUCGCUGGGACGUUACUGACGCUGAGGCGCGAAAGCGUGGGGAGCGAACAGG
rnacentral:rRNA from 1 species